UACGGAGGGUCCAAGCGUUAUCCGGAAUCAUUGGGUUUAAAGGGUCCGUAGGCGGUUUUGUAAGUCAGUGGUGAAAGCCCAUCGCUCAACGGUGGAACGGCCAUUGAUACUGCAAGACUUGAAUUAUUGGGAAGUAACUAGAAUAUGUAGUGUAGCGGUGAAAUGCUUAGAGAUUACAUGGAAUACCAAUUGCGAAGGCAGGUUACUACCAAUAUAUUGACGCUGAUGGACGAAAGCGUGGGGAGCGAACGAGG
rnacentral:rRNA from 1 species